AGUUCGAUCGGACGCCAUUUCCUUCGAAAUCGUUGAUAGUAAUUGAACGACAUUACGUGCGAUUGAAUUCGUAGUUCUAAACUCGAACUAGUUAGAAUUUAAUUUUAUCGCGAUAUCGAUUGCCAAUAGGAUUUUAGAACGACGCACGGAAAAUAACAAUUUCGUUGAAAAAUACGUUUACAUCUUGUUUUUCCUUAGUAGGGUUACGGAAAAAAUCGAACAUCAUUAUAGAGGUUAUUCCUUCAUGAAGCGAUUUUGAAUACCAAUUUGACCAACUAAUACGUAUCAAGUUACCCAAUAUGUCAGUGGAGGAUUAGUGUUUUCAUCCCUCGAAGCCAACGAAGUCAAUAACAUCUCCCGUACCUAAUGGCUAGACUACGUAUAUAAAUUUGGAGAUAUACCAGCUGACAGGGAACUCUUAAUUACCAGCAAGAUUGAUAGAUUCGCCUGAAACAAAGAUACAUCGCCCAAGCAGUAAUAUGAACGACGUAAUAUGGAUCUACUACUAUUCGAGUACCAAAAAUGGCAGAAGAUGGAUCUGACCGCAUGAGGGCGGUUCACUUGUUUUUCCGUUAUAUAAGUUUUAUACGUAUUAUAUGAUCUCAAACAUAUUUAAUUUCAAAUCUUUAUCUUGUGCUUCGGAUAACGUCUUUAGCUUCUAUAUAUAGAUUUUUUCUUCCGUUAUACCUGUGUGUUAUGGAUCCUCUUUUCGUAUGGUUACCGAGUAUUAACGGAGUAUAAUUCUAUCUACUAUCAAGGACUUCUACCAACAACGAAGAGACAGGUUAUAUGAUCUAGGUAUAGAAGCCUUUAGUGGACCAAACGUAUAUAUGAUAUUGUGAGAACGAACUUUAUGGUGUAGGAUAAGAAAUUCUAUAUCCAGAUUCAUGUUCUCUGUGGUAAAAUUCUCUGUGGUGUACUCCGAUAGACGUAUUUAUUCUCGGUGUCUCAAAGCGAGUGAUAUUAGAGAGAAAAAUAUGACAAACGCUGUGAUGUAUAUCCGUCGUAAACAAAUAAAUAAAGAUUUUCCCAUUUUUGAUUAAUUCCCUAUUAUACAAAUAGUACUAUUUGACUUUUUUAAAUUAAUCUAUAUGUAAGAAAAUGCAAUAUAUUUAAGUUUUAAUGAAUUUUUUAACAAAUAUGUGAUAUUUUGUAUUAAUUUCAGAUAACAUAUGAAGUUUACUCCAAUCGACGUAGUGAAAAUUCAAAGCUAUUAAUAUAUUUGGAAAAAAUACUACAGUCAAGUAAAAUACUGAAGUUGCAGAAACGUUGAUUCAAAGUAACCGAUGUUUAAUAAUUUUAUAACAUGUCGAAGUAAAUGGAGAAACAGCCUCUGAGGGCAUAUGAAAUUAGUUUCUCUUAUAUAUAGUAAACGGGUAAAAAGAAUCGUGCUUUUUAAAAGAUAAAAAAAUAAAAAAUAUACGAUAUAGGCCGAUGCAAUAAACGUAUUUUAAUUUCUUUUAAAAUUCAAUCUAAAGUCAAUGUUAAUUAAUACCGAGAAAAGUAAUAUUUGCACAAUUUCUUUCUCAUUACCUUCAGAUAAAGUACGUAGAAAGUAGAUAAAUGUAUUCCUUGUGCAACGUUCUGAUUGGCUGACCUCGCAUCUACUACGUUGAUCAAAUUCGAUAAUGGUUUAAUGCAUAAAUUCAUAGACGAUUUCCCCGGUUAACUUCCUUCAAAUUAAUCUUGCAUAAAUUCUGUCAGGGGUAUGAAGUAAAAUGUUCGCCAUGAGGAAAAUCGGUUAACUUGAAAGAAUACAAUUUGCUUAGUCUACCGAUCAAUUUUCCGCAUUAAUUUUACGCUUCGUAUUUCCAUCAUUUGAGUUAUUAAAUACAGUUGGACUCUCUCAAGGGAAUAAAUGAAACGUAAUUAUAAAUAAUUAAUAUUUGCACGAGCUAAAUAUUCGAGCUUCUAACUCUGCUCGUAUGUAAUUACGUGAAAGGUUGUUAGAACGUUGGAAACGAAGCAUAUAAAGUAACUAGUUUAACGAUGGCUUUGCCUUUGAAAACGUAGCUAAUGAACGUGAACGGAAGCCUUACGAUUACAAUUGGAUUUGUGCUUUGGAACGGAGUAUUAAUUAUUUUUGAAUAUUUUUUACCACAAUGCAUCCAUUAUCGAAAUAUCUACAAACGUUUAAGCACCAUCAGUAAAAUUACAAUUUCGUCGAUGAAUACAGUUCCGCUUUGUUCUUCCGCAUGAUAAGUUUACGAAAGCCAAAGAAAAAAAGAAAUGAAUAUCGUUGGGAAGGUUAUAUACUCCUUUAUAGCGGGAACUUUAAACAACGAAGCUCAACAUCAAUUGACUGCUCAAAGUGACGAGAAAUGUUACCAGAUCUCAACGGGGAAUCAAAUUUAUCAAGUCUACAAUACCAUCCUACAAGAUCAUAUAAGUUAAGUGAAUACGUAUUAUAUGUCAAUAGUUAGUAUCAUCGAACUGUCCUGUUUAUUUUAUUACGAAUUUAUUACAAAUUUGUUUAUCUUCGGAAGCUUAAAAAAAAGAAAGGAAGAGAUAGCUAACUCGAAAUAUUCGAGAAAGUAAAGACUACGUGAGAGUAUCGUUUAUUAAAAAACGAUGAUGAUGAGAAUCGAAAAGAAAGAAGAAUUGUCUAUCUAACGAAAUCGUACGAAAAAGAAAUAGAGAAACAAUAAAAUAUUGGAGGACUUAGAAGCAUAAAGAGGACAAGAAAGGAAGACAAAAACA